rnacentral:lncRNA from 1 species
CAGAAUCCAUAUAUUUUGUCAUAUAGAUACAUAAACUGAUUACUGACGACUAAAAACGACUUCCAACAAACCGGAAGUGACCAAUUAUCUCCCAUUAUACAUACAAAAGUAUAUAGAAACUAUAUAUUUUUGGAAUCAGUGUGAAAGAAGCUAUCAUAUGAGACCGGAAGUGACAUUAAUUUCACCGGAAGUAGCAUAUUAUUUCCCUUAUAUCACUCAAAAAUAUAAUUAAACCAUUAUUAAUCGCAUCAGUAUGAAGAAACUAUCUUCUUAUCAUAAUUUCUUUGGUGUGGAAAGACUUUCAAUUGUUCUCUGAACAAUUGGUUUUUAAU